rnacentral:rRNA from 3 species
GGGUUGUGAGGUUAAGCGACUAAGCGUACACGGUGGAUGCCCUGGCAGUCAGAGGCGAUGAAGGACGUGCUAAUCUGCGAAAAGCGUCGGUAAGGUGAUAUGAACCGUUAUAACCGGCGAUGUCCGAAUGGGGAAACCCAGUGCAAUUCGUUGCACUAUCGUUAACUGAAUACAUAGGUUAACGAGGCGAACCGGGGGAACUGAAACAUCUAAGUACCCCGAGGAAAAGA